rnacentral:rRNA from 1 species
UAGGGAAUCUUCCGCAAUGGGCGAAAGCCUGACGGAGCAACGCCGCGUGAGUGAUGAAGGUCUUCGGAUCGUAAAACUCUGUUAUUAGGGAAGAACAAAUGUGUAAGUAACUAUGCACGUCUUGACGGUACCUAAUCAGAAAGCCACGGCUAACUACGUGCCAGCAGCCGCGGUAAUACGUAGGUGGCAAGCGUUAUCCGGAAUUAUUGGGCGUAAAGCGCGCGUAGGCGGUUUUUUAAGUCUGAUGUGAAAGCCCACGGCUCAACCGUGGAGGGUCAUUGGGAACUGGAAAACUUGAGUGCAGAAGAGGAAAGUGGAAUUCCAUGUGUAGCGGUGAAAUGCGCAGAGAUAUGAAGGAAAACCAGUGGCGAAGGCGACUUUCUGGUCUGUAACUGACGCUGAUGUGCGAAAGCGUGGGGAUCAAACAGG